AGUGAACGCUGGCGGUAGGCCUAACACAUGCAAGUCGAGCGGCAGCACGGUGAUUGCUUCCUGUUACGGGGGCGGACGGGCGGGUGAUGCCUAGGUACAUCCGAAUCUGCUUUUUCUUAGGGGAGAAAGUGGGGGAACAUACCCCAAUCCCCCUUACGGCCUACGGGGGGAAGCAUGGGAUCUUCGGACCUCGGGUGAGUCAAGGUGCCGAUGUCGGAUUAGCUAGUUGGUGGGGUAAAGGCCCACCAAGGCGACGAUCCGUAGCUGGUCUGAGAGGAUGAUCAGCCACACUGGAACUGAGACACGGUCCAGACUCCUACGGGAGGCAGCAGUGGGGAAUAUUGGACAAUGGGCGAAAGCCUGAUCCAGCCAUGCCGCGUGUGUGAAGAAGGCCUUCGGAUUGUAAAGCACUUUUGGUUGGAAGGAAGAGCAGCAGGUUAAUACCCUGCUGUUUUGACGUUACCAAAAGAAUAAGCACCGGCUAACUUCGUG
rnacentral:rRNA from 1 species